rnacentral:lncRNA from 1 species
GGCGGGCACCUCCCACACCCCUCGCGCGCCCGCCGCUCCCGGCUGCCCCGGGCGGGCUCCACACCCACCUGCUUCCCUCAGCGGCUCCGGCUCCACUGAGCCGGAGGGUCCGCGGCCCCGCGGGCGCCGCGCACGGGGCGGCGGGGAAAGCCCGGGGCGCCCCGGCCGGAUGCGCUUGGAGGCUUCGCGGGAUUCCCUGGACCCCUCUGUUUUCGGCCGCGGAGUUAUCCCCCGGCCCUCCCCACACACCCCUGACCCUGGCCCGCUGCUCGACCCCGGGGGACUGGGGAGAGGAGAGCCAGCUCCUGAGUGAUGACCCGGAGUAUCCCCAGGGAAGGAGCGCGCGGGUAACGAGGAGCGCAGAGAGGAUCCGACUUUCCUCCGAGCUCCUCCAGCUCUAUUUGGGGGCCGUCGCCAGCUCCAUAAUCCCCGCUUUCCCAGAGAACUGUGCCAAGUUCCUCCUUGGAGAGGCAGCCAGAUGGACACCCAGAACUUUCCGUAUCUUCGUGUCGAGUAACAUCAAGAAGGGCUUCCCAGAUGGCUCAGUGGUAAAGAAUCUACUUGCUAAUGCACGAAAUGCAGGUUUGAUACCUGGGUCAGGAAGAUCCCCAGAGAAGAAAAUGGCAACCCAGUCCAGUAUUCUUGCCUUGGAAAUCUCACGGACAGAGGAACCUGCCGAGCUACAGUCCCGAGGGUCGCAAAAGAAUGGCACACGACUUAGUGACUAAACAACAACAACAACAAUAUCAGGAAAAGGUAAUUCCACAUUCAAAAAUUUGAGAGGUCCAGCAUACGCAUUUUUCUAGAGUUAUCAUAUUCAUUAGCACCCUAAAGGCCCUGAAAAAUUCUGCCAUUAAGAAACAUUUUACUCUGAUUAAUCUGGUGUGGAACACUCUUUCUCUUUUUCUUAAUUAACAAAAUGUUAAUGUUAUACUCAAGACUAUUUGGGAAGAGUGAUUCUGUUCUAAUCACUAAAUGCAAUAGAAUAUUUAGUGAGCUAGUUCAACUUCUCCCAGCUGGUUGAUAGCAGAGCUGGGGCUAAAAUCAAGUCUCUUAACUUUUAUUCCAAUGUUUUUCUUUCCACUGUAACAGGCAGCAAUUGUCGCUUAAUGAUAAUUAUGGGUGACAACAGUUGGAAUGCCUCUGCUGCUAAGGGAAGGCGAUUAAAGAGAAAAAAAGCAUCAUCAACACUUUAUGGAAAACUUUUUAAAGUGAUUAUUCAUAUUGUAUGUAAAAAAUCUAGGAAAAAAAGUGUUUUCAUUAGUAAUUCACUAUUAAUUAAAAUGCAUGUCAUUCGAAGUAGUGUCAAUUGAUGGUGUAUUAGAAAACUCUUUGCUAUCUGGUGCAUUGUGCCUGUUUAUAUCUCCUUAGUGGAAUUUUAAUAAAUCAUCAUAAGGGUGACUUUAAUGGCUUAUU